rnacentral:rRNA from 1 species
UACAGAGGGUGCGAGCGUUAAUCGGAAUUACUGGGCGUAAAGCGUGCGUAGACGGUUAUUUAAGUCGGGUGUGAAAGCCCCGGGCUCAACCUGGGAGUUGCAUUCGAGACUGAAUAGCUAGGGUACGGUAUAGGGAAGCGGAAUUUCCGGUGUAGCGGUGAAAUGCGCAGAUAUCAGGAGGAACACCAAUGGCGAAGGCAGCUCACUGGGACGGUACUGACGCUGAGACGCGAAAGCGUGGGGAGCAAACAGG